UACGAAGGGGGCUAGCGUUGUUCGGAAUUACUGGGCGUAAAGCGCACGUAGGCGGACAUUUAAGUCAGGGGUGAAAUCCCAGAGCUCAACUCUGGAACUGCCUUUGAUACUGGGUGUCUUGAGUAUGGAAGAGGUGAGUGGAAUUCCGAGUGUAGAGGUGAAAUUCGUAGAUAUUCGCAAGAACACCAGUGGCGAAGGCGGCUCACUGGUCCGGUACUGACGCUGAGGUGCGAAAGCGUGGGGAGCAAACAGG
rnacentral:rRNA from 1 species